CAUGAACUGUUUGUAGCUCUCGAGGACCAGGGUUGGCUACCACUGCUCUAAAGUUUUCAUGCCCACAGACAUCAGUGCUAUCGGACUGCAGUCGUUCAGGGGUUUCAUCCCGCAUGACACCUCCACAGAGGAUUAAUUUUGUGUCACCAUUGCCACCACAGCAGCUGCUGACGAGUCCACAAUGUCCGACUACUCCUUCUCCGCCACUGGAAGUGGAGGAUAUUCAGCAGCCUGCUGCCACACUGGAGGAGCAGGAUGCAGGGGACAUCUUCACUCACAACCUUACGCCAAUUUCUGCCCCUCUGCAAAUGCCACCAAGGCAGACAACUCCACCUACACAAUACAGCCCUACAACUCAACUAUCAAGCCAGGAGCAAAAUUUCUGUACCAACCGGGCAUCCCAGCAAUUGGAAACCAGGAUCUGCUGAGGAAGCAAGUGCAGAAUAUGGCGAGUUUGGCCAAUCACACAAAUUAAGCGUACCGUUCUGCCAGCCAGCAAAACUAUUAUAAUAGGGAAAUGAACAGAACCUUACAAGACAUGCAUAAUGACUUCAACAAUUUCCAGGAUCGUGUCCUGCGGAUAAUGGAGGCUAAUCUUGUAAACCAGCAAAGUAUGGUCCGGAUGAUGGAGGCACAGGCAGAAGCCACCAGGGAUCUGAACGCCACAAUUGCUACAUAUGUACAAAACCUGAUGUCAUUCCAUACGUCUGCUGCAACACCAACAUCAACCCCAAUCCAAUCACGACAAAGGCAGUCAUCUAGGGCAAACAGACACAAAAGAAACAGGCCCAAGCACCUCUAGAGAGCAGGGGGUGCACAGUGAUUCUGGACGAAAGUGGCCUAAUCUAAAGAAAAAAAAAAUGAAUGUUACUUUUUUUUGUUGCAAGAAUUAUAUUCUUAUGUGGCCAAUUUAAAACUAUACCAAAAAAAAAUAUUUGAUGUUUGACAUAGCAACCAAUCGUAUUGUGUCUAUAAUUUUACAAAUGCAUGCUAGAAAAAUGUUUUACACAAUACGAUUUUUUGCUAUGGGCAGCAUCAACUAAUUUUUUAACAUUUAAUUUUGCAUUUUAACAGUUUACCAUAAAAGUUGUUUUUGGCAUAAGUGCGCAAUUUUCAAACA